GAUGAACGCUGGCGGCGUGCUUAACACAUGCAAGUCGAACGGUGAAAGAGAGCUUGCUCUCUGGAUCAGUGGCGAACGGGUGAGUAACACGUGAGCAAUCUGCCCCUGACUCUGGGAUAAGCGCUGGAAACGGCGUCUAAUACCGGAUACGACGCGCGAAGGCAUCUUCUGCGCGUGGAAAGAAUUUCGGUUCGGGAUGAGCUCGCGGCCUAUCAGCUAGUUGGUGAGGUAACGGCUCACCAAGGCGACGACGGGUAGCCGGCCUGAGAGGGUGACCGGCCACACUGGGACUGAGACACGGCCCAGACUCCUACGGGAGGCAGCAGUGGGGAAUAUUGCACAAUGGGCGCAAGCCUGAUGCAGCAACGCCGCGUGAGGGACGACGGCCUUCGGGUUGUAAACCUCUUUUAGUAGGGAAGAAGCGAAAGUGACGGUACCUGCAGAAAAAGCACCGGCUAACUACGUGCCAGCCGCCGCGGUAAUAC
rnacentral:rRNA from 1 species